rnacentral:rRNA from 1 species
GAGGAAUAUUGGUCAUGGGCUUACGCCUGAACCAGCCAAGUCGCGUGAGGGAAGACUGCCCUAUGGGUUGUAAACCUCUUUUGUCAGGGAGCAACGCCGGCUACGUGUAGCCGGACUGAGAGUACCUGAAGAAAAAGCAUCGGCUAACUCC